rnacentral:rRNA from 1 species
CCUACGGGGGGCAGCAGUAGGGAAUUUUGCGCAAUGGGCGAAAGACUGACGCAGCAACGCCGCGUGAACGAGACGCCCUUCGGGGUGUAAAGUUCUGUCAGUGGGGACGACAAAUGACGGUACCCACAGAGGAAGCACCGGCUAACUCCGUGCCAGCAGCCGGGGUAACACGGAGGAUGCAAGCGUUGUCCGGAAUCAUGGGGCGUAAAGCGUUCGUAGGCGGCAUGUAAAGUCAGGUGGUAAAGUCGCAGGCUCAACCUGUGUAUGGCACUUGAUCCUUGCAACCUGGAAUGCGAUAGAGGUAAGGGGAAUGCCUGGUGUAGCGGUGAAAUGCUUAGAUAUCAGGAGGAACAUCGGUGGCGUAAGCGCUUUACUGGGCCGUAAUUGACGCUGAGGAACGAAAGCCAGGGUAGCAAAUGGGAUUAGAUACCCUAGUAGUC